GUGGAGGUGAGAGCACCUUACUGGAGAUCUCUAUGUAUCUGAGGUUUUUGAAGGAGAGUUGCUCAGCCCUGUAUGCAUCCUUUUGGCCCUCCUUCGCCUCGAGGUCUGUGUCCUUUUUAUGGUGUGGGUCCCACAACUGAAAGCAGUAUGCCAGGUACAGAAGCUUACACUUGGCCUCGUUGGCAUGAAGUUCUCACAGUCUCACCUAUCAAGGCUUUCAAGGUUCCUCUGUAUGUCAUCCCUUCCCUCCAUCAUAUCAGCUGCACCAUGUGGUUUGAUUGAAGUAAUGAUGUGUGUGAUUCCCUGACCUGUGGGUGUACAGAGAUCACAAUAGAGUUUUUUUAGGAUUCUGUAUUUUUGAUUCAACAAAUUUCACAAUACUGUGACAGUGAACAUACUUAUGGGCUGUAAAAUUAUCAAUACUAUAAUAAAAACUAUAAUUAUGAAAAAUUAUACUUAUCAAGACUACAAUUAUGGUAGGUGAUGUUCAUGCGUAUUUCAUUAUUUAUGUAUAUGUAACAUACAGUACCAAGUCCAUGAAACUGAUAUGAGAAGUGUGGUGGAAAGUCAAACUGUUCUUACAGCAGUCUAAUAAAGUGAAUGUUGAAAUGAAUUAAGGAAAAUGCUCUUGGAAGAAGCAAGUCCCUUUAGUAGGCUCAAGAGUGGGACCAAACAGAUAAUGAUCAGUCUCACUGUAAUGAUGAUCAUGUUCAAGUUGUUUAGGAAAUCCUGGCAGAAAGACAAGUUUGUGGAACACAAAGUUUUCCAAGACAGAGUCUCCAUACUGGAUAAAAGAGUCCUUUGUAACACAGAGACAUAAGAAGGCAUAGUACAAUGUUGUUAGCCAAUAGAUGUUGCUAAUUUUUGUUUCAACUGAGACAACAAAUAGUAAUGAUCCUUCCUGUUCGCUUGGACAAAAUUUUACCUUCUCAGACUAUCUUUUCAGAUGAUAAGUUGUUGCCAUAGUUCUGUUUUUGUCCUUAUCAAUGGUAUCAUUAAGAUGUCUCCACUUCUUAGGUACUCAGCUGCUGUUCAAAGAGGUCAGCUGUGCCUAUCAAGGAUGUUCCUGGUUUCCAGGACAGGCAGGCAUUUCAUCUCAGUAGAUUUCCCAUUAGGACUAGGUCACUGUCAUGACUGCUCCCAUCUAAUGGUCAAGCUGAAAAUAAGAACAAACAUUCCAGCUUCUCUAAUUUUAAUCUAUAUGAUGCUCUCUGCUAUAACUUUAAUUUCUGUCAAAGACAGAGUCAAA